CAGAAUUGACAAUAUGACUUCAUGACGCUGUAAUCUAUUAGAAAGGAGAUUCUAAAAGACCACAGUACUGCAAGGAAUAAAACAGGAUUUUGCCACAUUAUCCUAGAUCAGCAGAUGAGUCCAGCCCUCGUCUCUUGCAGUAUUUGAGAGCAACAAGACAAAUAGAGCUUUUUCCCAGAUGGAAGCUGAUAGAGAAACUGAUGCAGCUGAUAACCUUCAGCACACAUCCAAGUGAUCGGAACAGCAAGAAAGAUAAGGGAAAAUGCUUUGCUGUUCAGCCCAUGUCAAAGCCCC